ensembl:ncRNA C43H6.11 ncRNA
ACCUUUUUUGUUGCGGGAAUAGCUCAGUAGGCAGGGAUUUCCGGUUGCAAUCUAGAGGUCACGAGUUCGAGUCCGGCUUCCCCCUUUGGUUUUUUCAACUUGUUAGUUUGCUUGUUAGCUUAAAAGUGGAGCAAUCCACGACUGGGCUAU